rnacentral:rRNA from 1 species
GGGACACGUGAUAUCCUGUCUGAAUAUGGGGGGACCAUCCUCCAAGGCUAAAUACUACUGACUGACCGAUAGUGAACCAGUACCGUGAGGGAAAGGCGAAAAGAACCCCUGUGAGGGGAGUGAAAUAGAACCUGAAACCGUGUACGUACAAGCAGUAGGAGCAGGCUUGUCCUGUGACUGCGUACCUUUUGUAUAAUGGGUCAGCGACUUAUAUUCAGUGGCAAGGUUAACCAUCUAGGGGAGCCGUAGGGAAACCGAGUCUUAACUGGGCGUUCAGUCUCUGGAUAUAGACCCGAAACCAGGUGAUCUAGCCAUGGGCAGGUUGAAGGUUGAGUAACAUCAACUGGAGGACCGAACCGACUAAUGUUGAAAAAUUAGCGGAUGACUUGUGGCUAGGGGUGAAAGGCCAAUCAAACCUGGAGAUAGCUGGUUCUCCCCGAAAGCUAUUUAGGUAGCGCCUCGGACGAAUACUACUGGGGGUAGAGCACUGUUAAGGCUAGGGGGUCAUCCCGACUUACCAACCCUUUGCAAACUCCGAAUACCAGUAAGUACUAUCCGGGAGACACACGGCGGGUGCUAACGUCCGUCGUGGAGAGGGAAACAACCCAGACCGCCAGCUAAGGUCCCAAAUUACUACUAAGUGGGAAACGAUGUGGGAAGGCUCAGACAGCCAGGAUGUUGGCUUAGAAGCAGCCAUCAUUUAAAGAAAGCGUAAUAGCUCACUGGUCGAGUCGGCCUGCGCGGAAGAUGUAACGGGGCUAAGUAGUAAACCGAAGCUGCGGCAAUAUACUUUUGUAUAUUGGGUAGGGGAGCGUUCUGUAAGCGGUUGAAGGUGUGUGGUAACGCAUGCUGGACGUAUCAGAAGUGCGAAUGCUGACAUGAGUAACGAUAAAGGGGGUGAAAAACCUCCUCGCCGGAAGACCAAGGGUUCCUGUCCAACGUUAAUCGGGGCAGGGUAAGUCGACCCCUAAGGCGAGGCCGAAAGGCGUAGUCGAUGGGAAACGGGUUAAUAUUCCCGUACUUCUUACAAUUGCGAUGGGGGGACGGAGAAGGCUAGGUGGGCCUGGCGACGGUUGU